rnacentral:rRNA from 1 species
GUGAGGUAAUGGCUCACCAAGGCGACGACGGGUAGCCGGCCUGAGAGGGUGACCGGCCACACUGGGACUGAGACACGGCCCAGACUCCUACGGGAUGCAGCAGUGGGGAAUAUUGCACAAUGGGCGCAAGCCUGAUGCAGCGACGCCGCGUGAGGGAUGACGGCCUUCGGGUUGUAAACCUCUUUCAGUAGGGAACAAGGCCAGUGUUUAGCUGGUUGAGGGUACUUGCAGAAGAAGCGCCGGCUAACUACGUGCCAGCAGCCGCGGUAAUACGUAGGGCGCAAGCGUUAUCCGGAAUUAUUGGGCGUAAAGAGCUCGUAGGCGGUUUGUCGCGUCUGCCGUGAAAGUCCGGGGCUCAACUCCGGAUCUGCGGUGGGUACGGGCAGACUAGAGUGAUGUAGGGGAGACUGGAAUUCCUGGUGUAGCGGUGAAAUGCGCAGAUAUCAGGAGGAACACCGAUGGCGAAGGCAGGUCUCUGGGCAUUAACUGACGCUGAGGAGCGAAAGCAUGGGGAGCGAACAGGAUUAGAUACCCUGGUAGUCCAUGCCGUAAACGUUGGGCACUAGGUGUGGGGGACAUUCCACGUUUUCCGCGCCGUAGCUAACGCAUUAAGUGCCCCGCCUGGGGAGUACGGCCGCAAGGCUAAAACUCAAAGGAAUUGACGGGGGCCCGCACAAGCGGCGGAGCAUGCGGAUUAAUUCGAUGCAACGCGAAGAACCUUACCAAGGCUUGACAUGAACUGGAAAUACCUAGAAAUAGGUGCCCCGCUUGCGGUCGGUUUACAGGUGGUGCAUGGUUGUCGUCAGCUCGUGUCGUGAGAUGUUGGGUUAAGUCCCGCAACGAGCGCAACCCUCGUUCUAUGUUGCCAGCACGUUAUGGUGGGGACUCAUAGGAGACUGCCGGGGUCAACUCGGAGGAAGGUGAGGACGACGUCAAAUCAUCAUGCCCUUAUGUCUUGGGCUUCACGCAUGCUACAAUGGCCGGUACAAUGGGUUGCGAUACUGUGAGGUGGAGCUAAUCCCAAAAAGCCGGUCUCAGUUCGGAUUGGGGUCUGCAACUCGACCCCAUGAAGUCGGAGUCGCUAGUAAUCGCAGAUCAGCAACGCUGCGGUGAAUACGUUCCCGGGCCUUGUACACACCGCCCGUCAAGUCACGAAAGUUGGUAACACCCGAAGCCGGUGGCCUAACC